rnacentral:rRNA from 1 species
GACGAACGCUGGCGGCGUGCUUAACACAUGCAAGUCGAACGGAAAGGCCCUGCUUGCAGGGUGCUCGAGUGGCGAACGGGUGAGUAACACGUGGGUGAUCUGCCCCUUACUUUGGGAUAAGCCUGGGAAACUGGGUCUAAUACUGGAUAGGACCCUGCUGUAGGUGGUGUGGUGGACAGAUUAGUUUCGGUAAGGGAUGAGCUCGCGGCCUAUCAGCUUGUUGGUGGGGUAAUGGCCUACCAAGGCGUCGACGGGUAGCCGGCCUGAGAGGGUGGACGGCCACAUUGGGACUGAGAUACGGCGCAGAAUCCUACGGGAGGCAGCAGUGGGGAAUAGUGUACAAUGGGAGCAAGCCUGAUGCAGCGACGCCGCGUGGGGGAUGAAGGCCUGCGGGUUGUAAACUCCUUUCAGCCAUGACGAAGCCCUUGUGGUGACGGUAGUGGUAGAAGAAGCACCGGCUAACUACGUG